GCAGCAGUAGGGAAUCUUCCACAAUGGACGAAAANUNUGAUGGAGCAAUGCCGCGUGGAGUGAAGAAGGGUUUCGGCUCGUAAAANUNUGGUUGUUAAAGAAGAACACCUUUGAGAGUAACUGUUCAAGGGGUUGACGGUAUUUAACCAGAAAGCCACGGCUAACUACGUGCCAGCAGCCGCGGUAAUACGUAGGUGGCAAGCGUUGUCCGGAUUUAUUGGGCGUAAAGCGAGCGCAGGCGGUUUUUUAAGUCUGAUGUGAAAGCCUUCGGCUUAACCGGAGAAGUGCAUCGGAAACUGGGAGACUUGAGUGCAGAAGAGGACAGUGGAACUCCAUGUGUAGCGGUGGAAUGCGUAGAUAUAUGGAAGAACACCAGUGGCGAAGGCGGCUGUCUAGUCUGUAACUGACGNUGAGGCUCGAAAGCAUGGGUAGCGAACAGGAUUAGAUACCCUGGUAGUCCAUGCCGUAAACGAUGAGUGCUAAGUGUUGGAGGGUUUCCGCCCUUCAGUGCUGCAGCUAACGCAUUAAGCACUCCGCCUGGGGAGUACGACCGCAAGGUUGAAACUCAAAGGAAUUGACGGGGGCCCGCACAAGCGGUGGAGCAUGUGGUUUAAUUCGAAGCUACGCGAAGAACCUUACCAGGUCUUGACAUCUUCUGCCAAUCUUAGAGAUAAGACGUUCCCUUCGGGGACAGAAUGACAGGUGGUGCAUGGUUGUCGUCAGCUCGUGUCGUGAGAUGUUGGGUUAAGUCCCGCAACGAGCGCAACCCUUAUUAUCAGUUGCCAGCAUUCAGUUGGGCACUCUGGUGAGACUGCCGGUGACAAACCGGAGGAAGGUGGGGGAUGACGUCAAAUCAUCAUGCCCCUUAUGACCUGGGCUACACACGUGCUACAAUGGACGGUACAACGAGUUNCGAAGUCGUGAGGCUAAGCUAAUCUCUUAAAGCCGUUCUCAGUUCGGAUUGUAGGCUGCAACUCGCCUACAUGAAGUUGGAAUCNCUAGUAAUCGCGGAUCAGCAUGCCGCGGUGAAUACGUUCCCGGGCCUUGUACACACCGCCCGUCACACCAUGAGAGUU
rnacentral:rRNA from 1 species